UCCGGCUACGACCCUUCCCCCGCGCAACUCGCGCACUCCCGCGCAGAGGGGAGUACGAGUGUGCAUAAGUAAUCGCGAUUCACGGCUGAGGUGGACGCGUUAAUUAUAAUCUUCCUACCAAAUACAUACAAAUUGAACUUGAUAAUAAUUAGUUCGUGUGAAGUCUUGUGCCCUUAGUAUAGUGCUAAAUAACCCCGGAUUGGGGUUUUUCCCACCUACUGCUGCGGAAUAAUACUUCGGCUGUCUUGUUGGUCCUCUACGUUCCAUCUACUCUCCGCAACAGUGCAAGUUAAGUGGUGUUAAGUGCCGGAUACGGGAAUCCUAUGAGUGUGCGAGAACCCACCUAAAUUCUUAUAUAUUAAGUAAAUGGUAGAAAUCCUGUUGUGCCAAUAAAUAAUCUGUAAUACUAUCUAG